CCUACGGGGGGCAGCAGUGGGGAAUAUUGGGCAAUGGGCGAAAGCCUGACCCAGCAACGCCGCGUGAAUGAAGAAGGCUUUCGGGUUGUAAACUUCUUUUGACAGGGAAGAGCAGAAGACGGUACCUGUCGAAUAAGCCACGUCUAACUACGUGCCAGCAGCCGUGGUAAUACGUAGGUGGCAAGCGUUGUCCGUAUUUACUGGGUGUAAAGGGCGUGUAGCCGGGCUGACAAGUCAGGUGUGAAAUCCGGGGGCUCAACCCCCGAACUGCAUUUGAAACUGUUGGGCUUGAGUAUCGGAGAGGCAGGCGGAAUUCCUAGUGUAGCGGUGAAAUGCGUAGAUAUCAGGAGGAACACCGGUGGCGAAGGCGGCCUGCUGGACAGUAACUGACGUUGAGGCUCGAAAGCGUGGGGAGCAAACAGGAUUAGAUACCCGUGUAGUC
rnacentral:rRNA from 1 species